UACGGAGGGGGCUAGCGUUGUUCGGAAUUACUGGGCGUAAAGCGUGCGCAGGCGGUUUUGUAAGUCUGUCGUGAAAGCCCCGGGCUCAACCUGGGAAUUGCGAUGGAGACUGCAAGGCUUGAAUCUGGCAGAGGGGGGUAGAAUUCCACGUGUAGCAGUGAAAUGCGUAGAGAUGUGGAGGAACACCGGUGGCGAAGGCGGCAUCCUGGACCGACACUGACGCUGAGGAGCGAAAGCCAGGGGAGCAAACGGG
rnacentral:rRNA from 1 species